ACCCUCUCAGGGUCACACCUGUAGAGUUUCCAGUACUUAAUCAGUCUUGACAACGGGAGGGAGAAUCAAGCAGAGGCCUACCCUUUCCAUUUCUACCUUGGGCAGUGGCUAGCAAGUGGAAGACAAUCUGCUACAAGU